UGACCAACAACCACACUGGAGCGCACCGAGGGUCUGUCAGUCUCCACCAGGCCAUGACCGCCAUCAAGGAGCGCAUCGAGGAGAAACGAGGAGUCUUCAAUGUCCAGAUGGAGCCCAAGGUGGUGACGGACACAGAUGAGACAGAACUGCAGCGGCAGCUGGAGCGUCUAGAGCGAGAAAACGCAGAGGUGGACGGCGAUGACGACGCGGAGGAGAUGGAGGCCAAAACAGACGAAUAGACCAACAAGUGCUUCAGCACAGACACCCGUUCAGAUGAACUGAUGCUGCAGCAAAUUCACUUUUACACAAACAUCAUAAAGCUGAUUUUCUGAACCGGUGGCCUUUUAACCCUUCACAGCUAUGAUGAAUAAUAACAUUUAAGCUGAUUCACCAAUGCAGAGGGAAGACUGGUGUUCUCUGAAGAAAAACCUGUUUCUCGCUCUGCUUCGAUCUCAGUAAAAAUCUGGAAAGUU